rnacentral:rRNA from 1 species
GACGAAACAUGCAAACGUUAUUCGGAUUCACUGGGCUUAAAGCGUGCGUAGGCGGUCUUGUUAGUCAGGUGUGAAAGCCCUCAGCCUAACUGAGGAAUUGCGCUUGAUACUGCAUGACUAGAGAAUGAUAGAGGUGAGUGGAACUGAUGGUGGAGCGGUGAAAUGCGUUGAUAUCAUCAGGAACACCAGUGGCGAAGGCGACCCACUGGGUCAUUUCUGACGCUGAGGUACGAAAGCUAGGGUAGCGAACGGG